AUGAUGAGCCUGAUUGCUGUAAAGUACAGGUUUGACUUGUGGCUUUCUCUCUUUCCUUAUGCUUUCUUUACCAGCCUGACGCACGAUAGCAGAGCUAUCCAUACAGACAGUACACCUGAAUAUGGAGAGGAAUGCAAAACACACAAGAAAAAGCAGAACCUGUCAGUCACCCCUCGGCGGCUGUCGACAUCUGAAAGGAUGGGUGCAGAAUUCAAGCGCAGCCAUCUUCAUCCAGUCGCUCGUGUGCACAAUUUAGAGGAGCUGCAUGCUGGACCUGACCUGGCCCUGCACAGGGACUUGGGGCUUGCUGGCUCUGGCUCUCCACAAGCAGGGCUGAUGCUGAGCAGGGUGUGCCCUGGUGGCAAGGGGCUGCUAGCAAUGCUUCUCACCUGUCUGUCCCCAGCUUGUCACACAAAGGUCUUGCAGGCCCCCUGUGACCCUACUAGCACCCUCUUCCCCACCUGUCUCCUUCAGAGUGAGCAAUGCAUUGCCCUGCAUACACUGUCGUGGUCCUGACCCAUACCACAGACAGCAGCAAGCACCCAUCAAUCCACUGGAGUCAUUUUAGACUGCUUAUAUUCAUUUGUUUCAUUAUGCUGUUAUGGCUCUCAUCAGACACAGUGCUAAUUAACUCAAUCCCAUCCUACCAAGUCCUGGCUUCCACAUCAUCUCCAGGGUUUCUAGUCCAGGGAGCUGUAACAGAUCAUUUAUCCCAGGGGGCUUAAAUGGAUGCUUUUCCAUGGUGGAGCUUUAGGCAGAGAGACUCAUGAUUGCAGGGGUGUGUUCAAGUCUAAUUCUGUGUGUAGCAUCAAAAUUUGUAUAGAUUUUAAAUAAUUCAUCACUGGGCUUCAGUAUAUUUAGUCACUCAAAUUAGGAAUCAGGAAUUUUGCUCUGCGGUGAGCUAGUGUGUGUGUCAUUGUCAGAGGUUAGCUCUGCUGCCUCUCUCCAUGCAGAAGAGUUCAGAGAAAUUAAGUCAGAGGAAGUGACUGCCAGUAGAAGAUGCAGGAAAAUGUGUGAUAUGCAGUGCUGUGAGAGCCUCAGCAGCAGUGCAGCGGGUGAUACUGGUACAUGGUCUAGCGGUACGUGCGUUGCUGAGGUACUGGGAGACCAUAAGCGUGGUUUAGGUGAGGUCUUUGGGCUUCAACCCAUGAGCCGCCGGCAUAUGGGGACUGUCCCCAUCCAUUGCCCCUUGUUUUGUCUGUGGAUUGCAAACCAUGGGGGGCAGAGAGAUGCUCUUGUGCUUUUCUGUGUUCUGCCUGUGACUGUAAAACAGGCAGCACGGAUGCUCGUACCCGUUAGCAGACGCGGCAGCUGUGGCGGGCUCUCAGUCACAGCUGGUAGGGGCCCGAAGUUUGGCGGAUUCCCAAACCCCCUGCAGCAGUGCUGACUUUCAUUGCAAAGGGAUGGCUUAGAAAUACAGACCCACAGCUUCAUUUAGUAGGGUUUCUGGAGCUGUCUCUCCCCCUUUCUUGACCCAAAGGAAAUACUUGACAAAGUGCUCCAGCCCCGGUGAAUU
rnacentral:lncRNA from 1 species